UCCUGCACACAGGCAACAACUUAACCAAGCAGAUCGAGCUGCGAUUUCAGUCACAGAUCGACCGGGAUCAAGAGAUGAGGAAGCAACGCAGCUCGUCUUCUGCUGCUGCAGCAGCAGCUGUGUCCCUCUGUAAGCUGCUCCUCAUGGCCCUUGCUCUCAUCUGCACCAUGCACACUGCCCCCGUGCAAGGAGGGAGAGCAGCAGCAGAAAUUGGGUUUGGGGCACUGGAUCCAUACCACACGCCGACCGUUGUUCCUGGCCAGCCUUACACCCGCCCAUGCCGACGAGAAUACAACUGCUCUCCAGGAGUAGGCUCACCAUGACUGCAGUCGUCUGGAGUAGUAUUGAUCUCGAUCAAUACCAUACCAUGCAUGGUCUGCGUGCCUCUUAUACAUAAAAAACAAAUAAAGCAUGCAGCCAUUCAGUGUUUGGAACGACCAUCUGCUUGUUCAUGCACAGUCACAGUGUGCAGCAGUGCAGAGGACGUACGUCAGGCAGCAGCACAAAUAGUACUUUGACCGUGAUGUACUAAUGUAUGGUGUAUUUGUUGUUAAUGUAUAUGUUAUCUCACGCCCGCUUAAUUA